GGAUAUUCCAUAGGAAUAUAUAGAUAAUGCAGUCCAGCUGCGUGGUGUCAUUGCUCCCCCUAGUGGACAUUCCAUAGGAAUAUAUAGAUCAUGCAGUCCAGCUGUGUGGUGUCAUUGCUCCCCCUAGUGGACAUUCCAUUGGAAUAUAUAGGUAAUGCAGUCCAGCUGUGUGGUGUCAUUGCUCCCCCUAGUGGACACUCCAUAGGAAUAUAUAGAUAGUGCAGUCCAGCUGUGUGGUGUCAUUGCUCCCCCUAGUGGACAUUCCAUAGGAAUAUAUAGAUAAUGCAGUCCGGCUUUGUGGUGUCAUUGCUCCCCCUAGUGGACAUUCCAUUGGAAUAUAUAGGUAGUGUGCUCCAGCUGUGUGGUGUCAUUGCUCCCCCUAGUGGACAUUCCAUAGGAAUAUAUAUAGAUAAUGCAGUCCGGCUGUGUGGUGUCAUUGCUCCCCCUAGUGGACAUUCCAUUGGAAUAUAUAGGUAAUGCAGUCCAGCUGUGUGGUGUCAUUGCUCCCCCUAGUGGACAUUCCUUAG